GCAUAUCAAUAAGCGGAGGAAAAGAAACCAACAGGGAUUGCCUCAGUAACGGCGAGUGAAGCGGCAACAGCUCAAAUUUGAAAUCUGGCCCCCCGGGUCCGAGUUGUAAUUUGCAGAGGAUGCUUUUGGCGCGGUGCCUUCCGAGUUCCCUGGAACGGGACGCCAUAGAGGGUGAGAGCCCCGUACGGUUGGACACCAAGCCUGUGUAAAGCUCCUUCGACGAGUCGAGUAGUUUGGGAAUGCUGCUCAAAAUGGGAGGUAUAUUUCUUCUAAAGCUAAAUACCGGCCAGAGACCGAUAGCGCACAAGUAGAGUGAUCGAAAGAUGAAAAGCACUUUGAAAAGAGGGUUAAACAGCACGUGAAAUUGUUAAAAGGGAAGCGCUUGUGACCAGACUUGCGCCCGGUGAAUCACCCAGCUCUCGCGGCUGGGGCACUUUGCCGGCUCAGGCCAGCAUCAGCUCGCCGUCGGGGACAAAAGCUUCGGGAACGUAGCUCUCUUCGGGGAGUGUUAUAGCCCGCUGCACAAUACCCUUCGGCGGGCUGAGGUACGCGCUCCGCAAGGAUGCUGGCGUAAUGGUCAUCAGCGACCCGUCUUGAAACACGGACCAAGGAGUCAACCUUAUGUGCGA
rnacentral:rRNA from 1 species